AGAUCCUCAGACCUCAUCUGCUGAGACAAUCACCAUGUUUGCUGUGAAAGCAGUUUGCUUCCUUUCCACUAUCGCUUUGCUUCUUGCAGUGGCUGCUGCGGGAGCUCCUGAGAGAGAUGAGAGAGUCUGCGUAGGAGACCCUGUCGUUUGUAUGGACCUGUAAAGAUGAAGAGACGCCAAGGAUCCAGUGAAGCCUUUAAUCAUUAAAAUCCCUGUGUAGUCAAAUUUUAAUAAAGUAGUCAUGCAUACCUA